CAUCCUCCAAGGCUAAAUACUCCUGACUGACCGAUAGUGAACCAGUACCGUGAGGGAAAGGCGAAAAGAACCCCGGCGAGGGGAGUGAAAAAGAACCUGAAACCGUGUACGUACAAGCAGUGGGAGCACAGGUUUACCUGUGUGACUGCGUACCUUUUGUAUAAUGGGUCAGCGACUUAUAUUCUGUAGCAAGGUUAACCGAAUAGGGGAGCCGUAGGGAAACCGAGUCUUAAUUGGGCGUUAAGUUGCAGGGUAUAGACCCGAAACCCGGUGAUCUAGCCAUGGGCAGGUUGAAGGUUGGGUAACACUAACUGGAGGACCGAACCGACUAAUGUUGAAAAAUUAGCGGAUGACCUGUGGCU
rnacentral:rRNA from 1 species